GAUGAACGCUGGCGGCGUGCUUAACACAUGCAAGUCGAACAGAAAGGCUCCUGCUUGCAGGGGUACUCGAGUGGCGAACGGGUGAGUAACACGUGGGUGAUCUGCCCUGCACUUCGGGAUAAGCCUGGGAAACUGGGUCUAAUACCGGAUAGGACGAUGGUUUGGAUGCCAUUGUGGAAAGUUUUUUCGGUGUGGGAUGAGCUCGCGGCCUAUCAGCUUGUUGGUGGGGUAAUGGCCUACCAAGGCGUCGACGGGUAGCCGGCCUGAGAGGGUGUACGGCCACAUUGGGACUGAGAUACGGCCCAGACUCCUACGGGAGGCAGCAGUGGGGAAUAUUGCACAAUGGGCGCAAGCCUGAUGCAGCGACGCCGCGUGGGGGAUGACGGCCUUCGGGUUGUAAACUCCUUUCGCUAGGGACGAAGCGCAAGUGACGGUACCUGGAGAAGAAGCACCGGCUAACUACGUG
rnacentral:rRNA from 1 species